AUUGAACGCUGGCGGCAUGCUUUACACAUGCAAGUCGAACGGCAGCGUGGGCUUCGGCCUGGCGGCGAGUGGCGAACGGGUGAGUAAUACAUCGGAACGUGCCCAGUAGUGGGGGAUAGCUCGGCGAAAGCCGGAUUAAUACCGCAUACGACCUGAGGGUGAAAGCGGGGGAUCUUCGGACCUCGCGCUAUUGGAGCGGCCGAUGGCAGAUUAGCUAGUUGGUGGGGUAAAGGCCUACCAAGGCGACGAUCUGUAGCUGGUCUGAGAGGACGACCAGCCACACUGGGACUGAGACACGGCCCAGACUCCUACGGGAGGCAGCAGUGGGGAAUUUUGGACAAUGGGCGAAAGCCUGAUCCAGCAAUGCCGCGUAUGUGAUGAAGGCCUUCGGGUUGUAAAGCACUUUUGGCGGGAACGAAAAGGACUGUGCCAAUACCACGGUUCGAUGACGGUACCCGCAGAAUAAGCACCGGCUAACUACGUG
rnacentral:rRNA from 1 species